rnacentral:rRNA from 1 species
GACGAACGCUGGCGGCGUGCCUAAUACAUGCAAGUCGAACGAACGGAGACUGAGUGCUUGUCCUUGAUGAAAGCGAGGGGCGAACGGGUGACUAAUGCGUAGCUAACCUACCUGAUAGGGGUGGCUAACAGACAGCAACGCCAACUAAUACCGAUUAGUUCAUAGGAUUACAUGAUACAGUGAGGAAGGGCGUCGCAUGCCAUCUCGAAGAAACGGAGCUGCAUUAGCUAGUUGGUAAGGUAAAGGCCUACCAAGGCAAGGAUGCAUAGCCGACCUGAGAGGGUGAUCGGCCACACUGGGACUGAGACACGGUCCAGACUCCUACGGGAGGCAGCAGUAGGGAAUCUUCCGCAAUGGGCGCAAGUCUGACGGAGCAACGCCGCGUGAGUGAUGAAGGUCUUCGGAUCGUAAAGCUCUGUUAUUAGAGAAGAACAGCGCAGAGAGUAACUGCGAAGAGCGUGACGGUACCUAACCAGAAAGCCACGGCUAACUACGUG